GACGAACCGUACGAACGUUAUUCGGAAUUACUGGGCGUAAAGCGUGCGCAGGCGGUUAUGCAAGACAGAUGUGAAAUCCCCGGGCUCAACCUGGGAACUGCAUUUGUGACUGCAUAGCUAGAGUACGGUAGAGGGGGAUGGAAUUCCGCGUGUAGCAGUGAAAUGCGUAGAGAUGUGGAGGAACACCGAUGGCGAAGGCAGCCCCCUGGGGUUAACACUGACGCUCAUGCACGAAAGCGUGGGGAGCAAACAGG
rnacentral:rRNA from 1 species